ACUCGAAAUAUAUAUAUAAAGUCUGCUAUAUUAUUAAUAGUACCAACCACUUGCUAUUAGGUUUUCGACCCUUGGAUGAAGGGAUGUGCGGUUAGGAUGAUAGUGAUAUUCUAGAGUUGAGUGGGUGGUUAGUUAAAUAGUAUGAUUUAUUGAGUGAAACUGGUCAAACGGAUAGAUCUAACGGCAAAAAAUUCGACAGCACUAAGCAUUUGGUAUUAUCGAUAAUAUAGUAGCCGGACUCUCUCUCUCUAUAUAUAGUCCGGCAAUUAUACUAUCUAUAGUACCGAUUGUUUUGUGCUAUCGAGAUUUCUGCCGUUAGAUCUACCUAUAAAUAUAGAGUCCGGCUACUAUACUAUCCGAUAAUACCAAGCAUUUGGUGUUGUCGAGUUUUUUGCCGUUAGAUCUACCCCUUUGGCCAUUUUCAUCCGUUAGAUCAUACUAUUCAAUUACCUACCUCCUCAACUCUAGAGGGCUAUUAUCAUCCUGACCACACAUCCCUUCAUCUAAGGACCAAAAAUCUAAUAGCAAGUAGUUGAUACUAUUAAUAAUAUUGUAACCUAAUUCUAUAUAUAUAUAUAAAUAGGCUAGGGCUACUAUAUUAUUAUGAGUAUAGACUCCUUUAUAUUUAUAAAUUUUUCGCCGUUGAAUGUGCAAUUAGGAUACUAGUGGUCCCGUAGGAUUGGUUAAAUAGUAUGAUUUACGGAUGAAAAUGGUCAAAAGUAUAGAUCUCACGAUAAAAAACUUAUGAGUACAAAGGGGUCUAUACUAAUAGAGUAUAGUAGCCGAACUUUCUCUAUAUAUAAUUAUAUAUAAUAUAUAUUUUAAUUAUAUAAAUUUAUAUUAUGUAUUUUAAUUAUAUUUAUAUAGAAUUUAGAUUAUUGGGCCCAUAAAACCAAACCAGCAAAAUCCUACUUUAAUUGCUCUCUCUCUCUUUUUCACUCGCUCAUAGAGUUGUUUUUUCUAAUUUUUUUAAUAUUAUAAUAUCGUAUUUCAUGCAUUCAUUUUGUAUAUUGAGCUAUUAGACAUUUUUUGUAUUGAAUUUUAGAUAAUAUUUUAUAAAAAUUAAACUAUAGAUUGCACGAUGUUAAGAAUUUCAAACCGUUCGUUUACGGCUCGAGCUCGCUCGAAUCGAAAUUAGUCUCGCUAGAGCUCGGCUCGAAUUAAUUUCAAGCCGAGCUUGAGCCUAAAUUUAGGCUCGAACAAGCUUGAGCUGAGAUAAGCUUGCUCGAUAAGCUUGCUCGAGCUCGGCUCAGUUUCCACCCCUAAUUACUAGUUCUCUGGAUAAAAGUUUUGUAUAAGGGCCUGUUUGAAAACCUUGUAAUUUAUACUCCGUAUUGAAUUUUUUUUUGGUGUAUUGUCGAAAGAAGUGUUAUAUCGGUAGGGUAACAUAUUUUACCUAAAACGAAAAUAUAUCUUAUUUUGGAAAGCUAAUUUGAAUGUUGAAUAUGGUAUUUUUAAUCGUACUUCUCAUCACUAGGAAUGUUAAUGAGUAUGAAUAUUCAAAAUUUUAUUCAAACGCAAACCCGAACAAAGCGGAUAUUUUCAAUGCCAAACGGAUAUGGAUAUCAAAAAUGAAAAUCCGACAGAUUUGGAUUUCGAUAUGGAUUUUGACUGUACCCGACUCGAACCCAAAUUUAUUUUGCAUUAUAUAUAUAUAUUUGAUGUUAUAUUUGAAUUUUUAUUUUAAAUAUUUAGAUUUAAUGUAAUAUGUUUUUGAAAUAUUGAAAAAAGAAAUAAUUGUUUCAGAUUCGAAUUUUCGAGUUCAGAUUCGGGUUUCGGAUUUUUGGUCGGGUUUGGAUUUGGAUAUGAAUUUUUAAAAUCCAUCAUGAAUCUGAUCCGUUUACAUCUCUACUCACCACUAAAUGCUGCAUACUGUUUGUAAGUCAAUCGAAGGAAUAUACUGAAUAAAUCAAUAUGACUUUGGUCACUUCACAGAUAAAAUAUAUUAUUCUAUCAAAUUAUGAGUAUCAAAAUCUUUCUAAGAAGUAAAAAAUUAAACUGAUAUUUUCCAAUCACACAAGAAAUAUC
rnacentral:lncRNA from 1 species